rnacentral:rRNA from 1 species
CCUACGGGUGGCAGCAGUGGGGGAUAUUGCACAAUGGAGGAAACUCUGAUGCAGCAACGCCGCGUGAGGGAAGAAGGUCUUCGGAUUGUAAACCUCUGUCCUCAGGGACGAUAAUGACGGUACCUGAGGAGGAAGCUCCGGCUAACUACGUGCCAGCAGCCGCGGUAAUACGUAGGGAGCAAGCGUUGUCCGGAUUUACUGGGUGUAAAGGGUGCGUAGGCGGCCCUGCAAGUCAGGUGUGAAAACUAUGGGCUUAACUCAUAGAUUGCAGUUGAAACUGUGGGGCUGGAGGGAAGUAGAGGCAGGGGGAAGUCCGGUGGUAGCGGUGAAGUGCGUAGGGAUCUGGAAGGACACCAGUGGCGAAGGCGGCCUGCUGGGCUUUAACUCACGCUGAGGCACGAAAGCGUGGGUAGGAAGCAGGAGUAGAUACCCGGUUAGUC